CUGUGAAGGUUAACCACAUCCUCCUAGUUCCUUUAAAUGCCCUCUGCUACAUCAGACUGAAGAACAAUACAGGCAGAAAUGUGCUCAUCAGUCCACGCUUGUGGUUUGACACCUCACCAAUUCUUGAGUGAUAAAAGGUACCGUCCGGGGGGUUUGAAAUCAGCUCGGGUGAAAGCACCUGAGACGGAACCCCCACACUGAGUCUCACUCCACCCGGUCUCCAGUAGCCUACAUCCUCCCGGACCAACAAACCAGACGACAUCUCUUUUCAGUCUCACCCCCCAUCCAAAUCUAU